rnacentral:rRNA from 1 species
AUGAAUUGCCUAGUGUGGAACUGUCGGGGGGGGGGGAACCCUCGUACAGUUCGUGAUUUACAGGCUCUUUAUAGAGCCAAUUCCCCGAGGAUGGUGUUUCUGUGUGAGACUAGGAAUCACCUGCAAAAGAUGAAAAGGUUGCGAAGUAGGCUUGGGCUUCGUGGUUUUGAGGGCAUAAGUAGUCAAGGAAAGAGUGGUGGCCUAGCUUUGUUUUGGGAUGAGUCCAUGUAUGUCAGCAUUCAGGACGUUAAUGAGAGGUGGAUUGAUGUUUUUGUCAGGGUGGCUCCUCGGAACCUCUUUGGCAAGUGA